GGAGGCACUUACUCAUGCCUAUGGUCUGGACUGCUGGUCUCUGUUUCUUAGGAUAUGACCCACUGCCUGGACUUGUUUUCAGUUCUUUGUUAUCCUGUGGUUUCUCACUGCCUGAAUAUUUUGAACUAUUGCCUUGCUCCAACCUAAAGAAACAUGCAUAUCUACCCUUAGAUGGCUCAUCUGAUCCCCAGAUUUCCCCCCAGGCUCAAUCCAUUCUUUGUUUUGGCUCCCAGGAAGCAGUACUUUCUCUCAGUCUUCUCCUCAGCAUGGAUAGAAGCAAAUCAUAUGAAGACCCUGCUUUGACAGUUCAGUUGCAGGUCCUUCUAGUUGUGGCAUGUGGGACGCCGCCUCAACGUGGCCUGACCAGUGGUGCCAUGUCCGCGCCCAGGAUCUGAACCAGCGAACCCUGGGCCACUGCAGCAGAGCAUGCGAACUUAACCACUUGGCCUCGGGGCCGGCCCCAUCCAAGUCGUUUUUAGGGCAUAUGUGAGCUUGUGACCAGAGGCAAAUGGCCAGAGCCACUGAUCCAACCGUGGAUGCCAGAAUGAUGUCCCAAGGCUCAAAUGGGGCCAUCGACACCUCAGGGAUGAGAUCCAACAACUUGCUCCGUGGUACAGACCAGUGAGGACCAGAGGAUGUCACUCAGAAAAGCCUCCUGAGCUCUGAAGAGAUGCAUGGAGAAUUCCAUUUUACCGAGUCAAGAGGAUCAAUUAAAAUGCCACGUCUGCUAGGUUUAAGGUGAAAUAGAGCCCCUGGAGAUUCAGAAGGACCACUUCGAGAGUUUCUGCCUCAGGGAAACCUCCCAGAAUUGUAAACUGGUUGUUCAGGUGAUGAAAUUUGUCCAGAGUCUGUGCCACCCAGAUGCAAGAAAAUAAAUCCACAACUUUGGCCAAAUUGAUAAUGAGUAAUGAUUAACAAAAUGUUCUUUUUCCUGGCUGGACUCCCGGGAGAGAGACUUUGUUUCUCCCAGGUGGCUUAAAGAGGAGCUUGCCUUUGUGUGUUCUCCACAUUCCAGGAAAGAUGAAGGUAGAGCUAACGUCUCUCCUGCAGGCGAAGUUCCCUGUCCUAGGUGGUCUUUAUGGAUCAGGCUGCCUCCUAAUUACAUACUGAUCAUUUAAAAAGUGAAACUCCAGGGAGCGACGGGCCAGUGAGCAAUUCCUCUGACUCCUCAGAGCCAUCAGACUCACGUGGUAAGUCGUUACCUCCAUGAUAUCAUAUUUCAAGAGCUUCGGAACAUAACCUGGUGCUCCCUGCCUGAAGUCCCACAUGACAUUAGCCCCGACUGAAAUUGAGUCUACUGGAAGAAGUCACCUCUAAGCCUUAUCUGCUACCUAAAUUUUAGUAUGAAAGAUUUUUUACUUAAAAGGAAUACGUGGGGGAAAGCUGGGAAUAUCAAAUGUUAUUAGCAUUUCUUUCACGUUUGGCCCCACGCAAUUCGAAUGGACUUGUUUGUAGUUUAAUAAAUCAAUGUCUAUAAAGAAGCAAUGAGAUGAAAAGUGGCAAACAAGGUCCCAGUAACCACUAUUUUAAGGAAAUGCAGACCAUAAUGAUCAGCAGAGGGAGGGAGGAUAGGGGGCUAUUGACAAGGCCGACUGAGAAAUGACAAAUAAUCCUUUACAUAGAGAGGUUUGCUUAGAAAUGAAUGGUCUGUCUGGGAUUCUUGUAAAGUUACAGGAAUUAUACCAAAUAUGACCCAAGUUUCACUGGAAAUGGUUUAUGGAUCAGAGAAGUAUGUUUGGAGAGACAGUUGAAGAAAAUUCAGUGAAAGCUAUGAAAUGUAAACGAAGUCUAAGAGUCUGGAGCCUUCCAUGAAUGCCUGUGAGGAGUCUUUCCCAAGCAGAAUUCUUUUGGGAAUGUAAUUCUGGAUUCCCGUUUUCGUCACUUGACGCUUAAUAUGUGCCUUUCUCUUCUGGGUGAGUUGGGCAUAUGCAUACUUAACAUCUCCCCUCGUUCUCCAUAUUGCUUAGCAGAAUGCAAGAGUUUCACAGACAGAGGUUGGAAGGAAGGAAGGAAGAAUGAAAGAGAAGGAUAAGGAAAAGACAUAGGGGAAAACAUGGAAGGAGGGAAGAGAAAGAAAGAAAAAGAAGCAAGUCCUACUAGAGCCUAGAAAAUAGAAUGCAGACAGAAAUAGAGGCUUUGUUUAUUCUGCUUCACAGUCAGGCUGUAGCCAGGACUGAUAUCUGCCUUCCUGUCCUGGGAGCGGGGUGAUCUUGCUUAUCUGAGCUUGGGAUACAACCAGUAAUGGGAUUCUAGAAUGAGCAGUGCCCACACGGCUCCCUAGGAAGACCAGUCAAAUUGAGUGAAUCUUAGAGAGGUAAAGAAAGAGAAAAUGAGGAGAGAAAGAGGAGGCCCAGGAGGUGUUAUGUGGGGAAGAACGAGGCAAGUGCGUUUAUUUCCAAUACACAGUAAAUGUUUUGCAGGUUGUGCAAGCUAAUAGUCGACACAUGAGGUUGGUCUUGGAUAGAGCAGGUAGUCAAUAAACAGUCCCUGGAAACUGGGGGUGGGCAGAGAAGUAGGUGCUAAAAGAUUUAAGGGAUUAAAUUAUUUUCAAGCAUAUUAGAAGUAUUUAGGUUUCAAAUUGAUGUGCCGAUUAUAAAUAAUUUUAUUUUUUUGGUGAAGCAGGUCCCCAAGGGUCUUGCUAGUCACAUGUGUUUUUGUCCCACUGUGGUCAUUUUAUGGACCACUUCCAAAUUCAAGAUGCUAAAGUAUUUUCUUCUUGUGAAUUGGAGGCCAAGCCAGAGGCUUGUCUCCCUGUGGGCUUCAUGCUUCUGCGAGGGGCCACCUUUUCCUCUUCCUGCUUCCCCACACCCCAUUUCUGCGACCAUUCUCAUUCAGCAAGGACGGGGACCACCAUAUGAAAUGUGGACAACUGUGAGUGUCUGCUGAUGUUCACUGAAGACCUAGACUUCUGCUACUGCCUUCACCCCAAAUCUCCCCCUAGAAUUCCCUCUCUGCUUUCUGGGGUCCCAAUUUCACUGCAGGGAGUUCUGCAGACAACAGCGGCUGGAACGGAAGAGAAUGAAGGAGUCCCAGCAGCUACUCUGUGACGUCCUGAGAUGGAACUUGGGGUGUUUUAAUUUCAAAAGCAGAGUUGAAAGUGGUGAUGAGAUUUCACGGUACCAUUAGUGUGGUACUAGACUUGAGGCACAAAAUGAGUUAAGGAGGCAUCUGGAAGCUGGCUCAGAAUUCAACCACAAUGUUUCUAUGACAAAUUGGCUACUAAUUUGCCAAUAACCAACUUAGAAAUGACUAUUAGAAUCAAGACAUAUCCACUGAGAACUAACAGAACUAAUACGGUCUAACUAUUUCAGAUUUUGCACAAAACUCAGAUGGAUCUAACUUGUCUGAAUUAGGGUCUUCAGGUAAAGUAGAUUGAAUACAUCCUAUUUCAGUGGGCUUGCCCUCAUUACAGGCUGAUUUGCCCACAGGGAAAUAGGCAAUAAAGUCUGAUACUCUGAUGGUACUAACACUUUCUGGAUGUUUGUAGAAGGAGCAACCUUGGUCCAAGUGAACAAGAAAAGAGGAAGUUCCCAAACCACUUGCAAAGGGUUGAGGCCGAAGAACAGAUGUCUCUGGGCUGCCCAGACGUCGGCCGCAUGGCCCAGCAGUGCUGCCGCUGCCGAAACCCCAAGUCUGCAAGUCAGGGUGGUCUGGAAGUGAAGGAUUGUUUUCCUGAGAGUGGUUUCAAGAAUGCAACUCCUCACCUAAUAAAAAGAAUGUGCAAUGAUUAACUGAGUCUAAUAUUAGCAUCUGCAAAAUAAAGAGCAAUUGGGCCUGCUAUUAAAGAACAAACCUUGCAUGCACCCGCUGCCAGGUAAAAUCUGUUCUUUCUCAGUCAUAAAUCUUUCUUGGACGCCAGAGAAGAAUUUCACUUCCGUCAGAAACACUGGGUGAACCGAAGAAAAAGAACAUGCUGUUUUGGAGAUGAAAGCGACUUGAGUUUAAAGGUCUUGGUGCCUUUUCUGUCUGUUUUGCUUGCUUUCUCUGUGGUGUCCUUGACUUGGCCAUGCCUUGCAUUGUUUGUUGGAUGAUGAGGCAGCAGUGGGAAAAGGUCAGGAUGGGUCAUUUGCUUCAGGCUGUAGCUUCAGGCAGAGAACUAGCAUCUGACAUCGAAUCUCACUGUUCUCCAGGGUGGACCCUUGGUGAAACAUCUUUGAACACCGAACCCUUGAUAAUUGUGAAGAAUACAUUAAGAGACUUUAGGAUUUUCCUAAACUUGAGAACUCCAUCCACUAAUUGAGAUGCAGAAGUUGAAUUGAUUUGUUCAUCAAAUAAGGUUACCACUCUUGCUGAACCAGAGACUCAAAUUGGUAGUUGCCACUUUACUUGUAUUACCUAAUCUGACUUCAUGAAACGCUUUGAUGUAAGGCAGUGGUUUUCAAAGUAUGGGCCUCACAAUACCAGCAUCACCCGAGAACUUGCUAGAAAUGUACAUCCUUGGGUCCCAUUCCAGACUUACUGGGCCAGCAAUCUCCCUCUUCAGUAAGUCCUCCAAGUGUUUCUGAUGGACGCUAAAGUUUGGGAACCACUAAUGUAGGAAACAUUAUCACCAUAAAACAUAUUAUAUGCUGUGAUGUCUUGGAACUUUGAAGUCUCUCUUAUAGCUAAAACUUUAAAUUCUAGCUUUCCAAGGAUCUUCAGUACCAUGCGUGCAGUAGGCAGUCAAUAAAUGUUCCCUAUAGAUGCUGUGUCUCUGAGAUAGUAAUCAUCUUUUAUUUUCCUCUUUUCCUCCCUUCCCUCCUUGCUCCCUCCCUUCCUACUUUCUUCCCUUUCUGCCUUCUUUCCUUCUCCUUCUUUUCUUUUUUGUCUGCCCUGUAUCACUUUGGGGAGCAUCUCUUCCCCUUUACAUAUAUUUUAGAUGGUGCUGAUAAUCAAGUGGGUCUGAUCUCACCUACCACUCAGUGUCCACUUCACCCAGGCUGGCCAAUCAAAGUGCUCCACUCUCUGGACACAGUAAUUGGUCCAGAGGUCCUAGCAGGGCCACUGAGAGCCUUUGGGUUGGGGAGAUCAAUAUGAACUUUAUGAAGGAAAGACUGUCUAUUCCCGACUUUGUGAGCACCAAGAAACCAGGUGAACUUGGAACUUCUUGGGGGCUCAUCUUCCUCCACAUGCAGAUGGUCUGCCUGGGAAUGAAGCCAUCUCAGAGGAAGGCAAAGCCAAGUUCUGGACGGAGAGAGGGCAGGGAGUUGAUGUCACCUUUUGAACCCAGAGCUUCACCAUGCCUUGAAGUCAGAAUCCGCUCUCUCCUUGGACGUCAUAUUCAAUUCAACGUUCCCUGGGAAUACCUUAAUCUGGGAUCCUGGGGACAUUCCUAUUAAUGAUUUUGUACUUAUUGAAAAAGUAGGAGAUACACAUACAAAUUGGUACCUAGUAGACUGUGUCAUUUAGAAAGUUAAAGUCCCUUGUGAUGAUAACCACUACUUCCCUGAAAAUCAC
ensembl:lncRNA